ensembl:misc_RNA Metazoa_SRP Metazoan signal recognition particle RNA
GCUGGGCAUGGUGGUGCAUGUCUGUGGUCCCAGCUACUAGGGAGGCUGAGGCAGGAGGAUUGCUUUAGCCUGGGAGGUUGAGACUGCAGUGGGCCAUGAUCAUACCACUGCACUCCAGCCUAGGCAACAGAGCAAGAUCUUGUCUUAA